rnacentral:misc_RNA from 1 species
CAGAGUUCGUGCCCUCACGGGUAGAUCUCCCACCCUGUGUUAUUAUACCUUUGUUGCUUUGGCGGGCCGCCCUCGGCUACCGGCCCCGGCUGGUACGCGCCCGCCGGGGGACCCAAACUCUUGUAUUUCUUACUUUGCAUGUCUGAGUGGAAUCAUAAACAAAUGAAUCA